UACGUAGGGGGCGAGCGUUGUCCGGAUUUAUUGGGCGUAAAGAGCUCGUAGGCGGCUUAGUAAGUCGGGUGUGAAACCUCCAGGCUCAACCUGGAGACGCCACCCGAUACUGCUGUGGCUAGAGUCCGGUAGGGGAGCGUGGAAUUCCUGGUGUAGCGGUGAAAUGCGCAGAUAUCAGGAGGAACACCAGCGGCGAAGGCAGCUCGCUGGAACGGAACUGACGCUGAGGCGCGAAAGCGUGGGGAGCGAACAGG
rnacentral:rRNA from 1 species